UACGUAGGGGGCAAGCGUUGUCCGGAUUUACUGGGCGUAAAGCGCGCGUAGGUGGCCCGGUAAGUCCGCUCUGAAAGUCAAAGGCUCAACCUUUGAAAGCGGGUGGAUACUGCCAGGCUAGAGUCCGGAAGAGGCGAGUGGAAUUCCUGGUGUAGCGGUGGAAUGCGCAGAUAUCAGGAGGAACACCAACGGCGAAGGCAGCUCGCUGGGACGGUACUGACACUGAGGCGCGAAAGCGUGGGGAGCGAACAGG
rnacentral:rRNA from 1 species